rnacentral:rRNA from 1 species
GAUGAACGCUGGCGGCGUGCCUAAUACAUGCAAGUAGAACGCUGAAGGAGGAGCUUGCUCUUCUGGAUGAGUUGCGAACGGGUGAGUAACGCGUAGGUAACCUGCCUGGUAGCGGGGGAUAACUAUUGGAAACGAUAGCUAAUACCGCAUGACAACAGUUAUUGCAUGAUAACUGUUUAAAAGGGGCAACUGCUCCACUACCAGAUGGACCUGCGUUGUAUUAGCUAGUUGGUGAGGUAACGGCUCACCAAGGCGACGAUACAUAGCCGACCUGAGAGGGGGAUCGGCGACACUGGGACUGAGACACGGCCCAGACUCCUACGGGAGGCAGCAGUAGGGAAUCUUCGGCAAUGGACGGAAGUCUGACCGAGCAACGCCGCGUGAGUGAAGAAGGUUUUCGGAUCGUAAAGCUCUGUUGUAAGAGAAGAAAGAGUGUGAGAGUGGAAAGUUCACACUGUGACGGUAUCUUACCAGAAAGGGACGGCUAACUACGUG